UACGAAGGGGGCUAGCGUUGCUCGGAAUCACUGGGCGUAAAGCGCACGUAGGCGGAUCUUUAAGUCAGGGGUGAAAUCCCAAGGCUCAACCUUGGAACUGCCUUUGAUACUGGGGAUCUCGAGUCCGGAAGAGGUGAGUGGAACUGCGAGUGUAGAGGUGAAAUUCGUAGAUAUUCGCAAGAACACCAGUGGCGAAGGCGGCUCACUGGCCCGAGUACUGACGCUGAGGCACGAAAGCGUGGGGAGCAAACAGGG
rnacentral:rRNA from 1 species